CAUGUAGAAAUUCACUAUCGGUAAAUUGAAAACAAGGGUGAUCACUAUCAAGCAUUACGGGAGGCGGAUUAGGACGUCUAGGUUGGCUACUAAUUUUAACUUGCUUAUCUUUUUUAGGUCGGGGAGCCGAGGGAACGGUAGUAUUAUGGCAACUACUUUCACUGGUUGUACCUUUUCCUUUACCGAACAUUUUUUUCAAAGAAAAUGCCAUACUAAUUAGAAUUAUGCAAANNNN
rnacentral:lncRNA from 1 species